UACGGGGGGGGUAAGCGUUGUUCGGAAUUACUGGGCGUAAAGGGCUCGUAGGCGGCCAACUAAGUCAGACGUGAAAUCCCCAGGCUUAACCUGGGAACUGCGUCUGAUACUGGAUGGCUUGAAUUCGGGAGAGGGAUGCAGAAUUCCAGGUGUAGCGGUGAAAUGCGUAGAUAUCUGGAGGAAUACCGGUGGCGAAGGCGGCAUCCUGGACCGACAUUGACGCUGAGGAGCGAAAGCUAGGGGAGCAAACGGG
rnacentral:rRNA from 1 species